rnacentral:rRNA from 1 species
UACGAGUGCCUCGAGCGUUAUCCGGAAUCAUUGGGCGUAAAGCGCACGUAGGCGGCUUUUUAAGUCAGGGGUGAAAUCCUGGAGCUCAACUCCAGAACUGCCUUUGAUACUGAGAAGCUUGAGUCCGGGAGAGGUGAGUGGAACUGCGAGUGUAGAGGUGAAAUUCGUAGAUAUUCGCAAGAACACCAGUGGCGAAGGCGGCUCACUGGCCCGGUACUGACGCUGAGGCACGAAAGCGUGGGGAGCAAACAGG